rnacentral:rRNA from 1 species
UUAUUGGGCGUAAAGAGCUUGUAGGCGGUUGGUCGCGUCUGCUGUGAAAGGCUGGGGCUUAACCCUGGUUUUGCAGUGGGUACGGGCUAACUAGAGUGCAGUAGGGGAGACUGGAAUUCCUGGUGUAGCGGUGGAAUGCGCAGAUAUCAGGAGGAACACCGAUGGCGAAGGCAGGUCUCUGGGCUGUAACUGACGCUGAGAAGCGAAAGCAUGGGGAGCGAACAGGAUUAGAUACCCUGGUAGUCCAUGCCGUAAACGUUGGGCACUAGGUGUGGGGAACAUUCCACGUUUUCCGCGCCGUAGCUAACGCAUUAAGUGCCCCGCCUGGGGAGUACGGCCGCAAGGCUAAAACUCAAAGAAAUUGACGGGGGCCCGCACAAGCGGCGGAGCAUGCGGAUUAAUUCGAUGCAACGCGAAGAACCUUACCAAGGCUUGACAUAUACUGGACCGCAUCAGAGAUGGUGUUUCCCUUCGGGGCUGGUAUACAGGUGGUGCAUGGUUGUCGUCAGCUCGUGUCGUGAGAAG